rnacentral:rRNA from 1 species
GAUGAACGCUGGCGGCGUGCUUAACACAUGCAAGUCGAACGAAGCAUUUGCGACAGAUUUUUUCGGAAUGAAGUUGCUUAUGACUGAGUGGCGGACGGGUGAGUAACUCGUGGGUAACCUGCCUUGUACUGGGGGAUAGCAGCUGGAAACGGCUGGUAAUACCGCAUAAGCGCACAAUGUUGCAUGACAUGGUGUGAAAAACUCCGGUGGUAUAAGAUGGACCCGCGUCUGAUUAGCUAGUUGGUGAGAUAACAGCCCACCAAGGCGACGAUCAGUAGCCGACAUGAGAGGGUGACCGGCCAGAGUGGGACUGAGGCACGGCCCAGACUCCUACGGGAGGCAGCAGUAGGGAAUAUUGAACAAUGGAGGAAACUCUGAUGAAGCGACGCCGCGUGAGUGAAGAAGUAAUUCGUUAUGUAAAGCUCUAUCAGAAGGGAAGAUAGUGACGGUACCUGACUAAGAAGCUCCGGCUAAAUACGUG